rnacentral:rRNA from 1 species
UACGAAGGGGGCUAGCGUUGUUCGGAAUUACUGGGCGUAAAGCGCGUGUAGGCGGCCACGUAAGUCGGAUGUGAAAGCCCCGGGCUCAACCCGGGAAGUGCACUCGAUACUGCGUGGCUUGAGUACUGGAGAGGUUGGUGGAAUUCUCGGUGUAGAGGUGAAAUUCGUAGAUAUCGAGAGGAACACCGGUGGCGAAGGCGGCCAACUGGACAGAUACUGACGCUGAGACACGAAAGCGUGGGGGAGCAAACAGG